ACGACCUUACUUGAACAGGAUCUGUUCUAUAGGAUCGUACCGCUGCAUCCUUGACUAAUAAGGAGGCAAGCACUUAAGCCUGGUUGAUGAAGUCUGACCUGUGGGCCAGAGCGUGAUUAAUUGCUCAGAUUACACCGGUUGGUGUUGAUCUAUAGCUGUAGAUGAUCGUUCCUGUUCAGCUCUGCUGACCAGGGUGGCUCACAGGUUGUAUGACAGGUC